GUUGAUAACCUACCUAUAAGACUGGGAUAACUUCGGGAAACCGGAGCUAAUACCGGAUAAUAUAUUGAACCGCAUGGUUCAAUAGUGAAAGACGGUUUUGCUGUCACUUAUAGAUGGAUCCGCGCCGCAUUAGCUAGUUUGUAAGGUAACGGCUUACCAAGGCAACGAUGCGUAGCCGACCUGAGAGGGUGAUCGGCCACACUGGAACUGAGACACGGUCCAG
rnacentral:rRNA from 1 species